rnacentral:lncRNA from 1 species
UAUCCAUUCAAGUGUGUCUAUUCACUGUUUUCUCACCAAUUCUCUUAUCACUAAAGUCUCUGUUUUGCAUCAAUAUUUGCUUUAAAGGCGUGUUGUGUCAACGAAUGUGCGACCGCGUUUAUAAAAAUAAGACGUGAUUCAAUCCUGACAAGUAAAGGCGGUUAAGGGGUGAGGGCGCACAUAAAGAGAGAGAAGGUGUCUCAGCGGCUGAAAAUGUCACAGUGAAGAAGAAAGAAUGUUUAGGUGGUGAGCGAUGAGAAGAGAAAUGCAAUCUGGGUCCAGACAGAGGUGUAACAGACCAAUUUGUUUGUGGUGUAAUGGAGAGAAGAUGGGCUGGCCUGCGUGAUAAGUCGGCCAGGUCCGGGCCAAGCUGGACCAGGAGGAUAAGAAGGCUGCUGAGCUCCGUUUGGAAAGAAAGAAGAAAACAAUAAGUUAGACAAACAUGUGAAGUGUGAAGAGAAAAAAGGAUGAAGGAAAAUAUGAAAUCUUGAUGAGUUUUAAUGUUUUAGCCAAAUAAAGAGAUCAAGUCUUCAAAGGGGGUUGAUCUUAAAGGGACAUUAUGGAAGUUUGACAGCCAAAACAUGUAUAGAAAUAAUAAAUAUCUUCUUCAUACAUUCUCCUGCAAUGCCCUGGUCCUGUAGAAUGAGCCCUGGCAUUUUUACUGUGAUUGCCUGUUUUUCUGUAACAUCACAGAAAAAGAGAGAUGCUCGGGUCGAGCAGGCUGCUUCAUGCGCGUUCACGCUCAGGCAUCGCCCGUAGCAUUUGCUAUCCGUAGCUUUAGCAGCAGAGAGAGAGGCAGUGCCACUUUGUCGCUGUUCCUAACGCCUAGUGACAAAGCUAGCUACAUUUCUGAGGACCCUUAGCUACUUUCUGUAGAACUUUCUUCUAGAUAUUUCCUGCAAAUUAGCAACAAAAUAGCCAUUUUCGCUCCGAACCGUUCUUUGAACGUUGUUUCAGCUGUCAUCAAGGAUAUAAAUGUUACAGAUACAAAAGACGUCACUGGUGCUUUAGCUCACCUAGUAAGACGUCGGACUCUCAUGCAGAAGACCUGGAUUCGAUUCUGGAUGUGAACAUAGUUUAUUUAGAGUUUCUUUUUUACAUUAAUGGUAUAUUUUUUUACAGUAAGAUGCCCAAAUUUUUAACGGCAUUGAAUUCACAGAUAAAAAAGAUGUGGGUUCAACUUUCAUUUUGGAACAAUUUUUCAAGCAAGGGAAGGGAAUGAUCUGAGCAUGCAGGAGGACUGACCCAUCAUAAACCUUUGUCGGCUGUGCUGAAGAGAAAGGUACAGAACCAAAUUAUUUAAUUAAUUAGCUGCGUGUUCUCCUGUCCUCUGUCCUCCGGGCCACACACACACACGGGACUGUCUCAGCUGUUAUUUUCGUUAAGGAGUGUGCACGUGCAGCAUGUGCGCCUCGUGCACGAGCCUACUAUUGAAGCUACCGUUGCGCUUUUGGCCUGAGGGGGCAAUCGCGAGCAUAAAAAUUCAAAAGUCCAUAUAGUCCCUUUAAAGAGAACCGCUUCUUACGGCUCGGUUCUUUCUCAAACAGCUCCUCACAUUUUUUCAUUUUGUUAAAUUUACUCAUGACCAGAAAUUAUGUAAAAUGUGUGUGAAAUUAUUGACCAAUCUACAAGCUACAUUAAAUCAACUUUUCAUUAUUUAAAGGGAGACUAGGCAGUUUUUAGCACCUCUAGUGUCCGUUUAUUAGAACCAAAAGCAAAACUUGUCUCAUCACUAAUUAUCUAUUCAUCACUAAAUCAAACACAUCAGGUGUGUUCAGGAUCUAAAACAUGCAGGAAACGUGUUGGAAGCAGACUGCAGCACCAGGUAUGCCAGGUAAAGGUCGGUCCGCCACACUGAAGUUGUAAGUGUGAUAUUCUGGCUACAGAGGUCGGUGGGGUCUGAGUGUCUUAUCACUAACCCUGUAAAGGGUCAUUUUAGCACAUACGGGUUCAAGUGAUGAUUUAAACAUAUUAAAAGUUGCAUAGUAUCACUUUAAAUAACUUCUAACGAUGCAAAACAGAAUGGAAAAAACACAUUUUAAAUAACAAAAAUAAACUCUGGAAGUACAAUAUUUAUAGGUAGAAAACUUAGAAAGCUAAGAUAAUCACACUGGAACAUUUGUAGAUUUUUGCUUUCCAAAGUCCACACUCUUCCUUUGAAUUGUCAAUAUUGGUAAAAUGUGUCCAAAUCUGGCUGCAUUUCCUGCUUUAGCUCAUGUCCUCACCUUUCUGUAGACUGCUUUUUUUCCCUCCCCUUUCACACCCUCCUCCUCCCACUGCUCUGUGAGUUGACACCAGCGCCUGUCUGCCUGUCUCCUGCUCGCUGCAGACGAGUAGCAAAUUUGGCUCGUUCGAGACGGAGCCGGUUCUGAUCGGUCACUCCCAAGAGCUGGUGUUCUGACUAUCCGUGCUUCCUCGUCGAACUAUCCUACCGCGGCGUGUUACAACAGGUUCACUCUUGUUUACAUUAUAAUAACACGCUUAUUAAGCAUGGUUUAUCUUAAAUAGGUGAUAAUACAUAAAAAUACAGAACUGUAGUAUAAUUAUUCACGAAAAUAUACAGUGUUUGUGGUGAUUUUAUUUAUGUAAAAGACCGUGUUUGUCGUGAUUUCAUGAAUGACGGUAAACAGUGGGAGAAAUUUCUUGUUUACAGUAUAGUAACGAUAUUCUACAAGCCAUUUGCAAGCUAACUGUCAGUUAAACGUACAACAAGCAGAAAUUUAAGAACUUCCAGAGGUAGUGCAUCUCUUCAGGUGAACAGCCUGUGAUGUAGUAGUCGGUCUGCGCAUUUCCCCAAAGUAGCACAUAUCCACAGGUGGCACGGAUAGUCGGAACGCCGGUGUCGGUACAGGAUCUGCUCGGGUGCAAGAUCGGCUUGGGGUCCUUCGACUGCCGAUGACGUCAAAGUAUGCCAAACCCACUCGGACAAAAUACACUACACAUCUUUAUACUGUUGGAAAGAAUUUAGCAGUUUCGUUAUUAAAAUAAUGUUUCUUACGACGUAAGUUUGUGUUUAUAAUGGUAUUUGUAAAAUAAAACACUAUAUUGUAUUCAUAAUGUUGAACUCCUCUUUGAGCACAUCCCUUGAAGGAUCAUAGGUAUUAGCAACACCUGUGAAAUUGUAUUUGCAGGAAAGAAGUGUGUCCCGUUUAUUGAAGUAUUUUGUGUUUAGAGUUUUUGACGUCUUGUCCAUGCGUAGUUCAGUUACGCUCAUAGCUGCUAGCCAAAACUCUGGAGUUAAAAGUUUUCUGGCUUUACUAAAAUACCUGUCUGUACUUAUUUGAUUGAUGGUAGUUUUACUUUCUAUUAGACUCCAAAUGUAAUCAUUUGGCACGUUUCUAAUUCAUAAUUUGUAAGAAUGUAAUCGGUGAUAUUAGCAUUAGCAUUCCUAUGGGUUUUUCCA